GCCCGGGUGGCGGAACUGGCAGACGCACAGGACUCAAAAUCCUGCGAGAGCAAUCUCAUGUGGGUUCAAUUCCCACCCCGGGCACCA
rnacentral:tRNA from 1 species